ensembl:processed_transcript C230004F18Rik RIKEN cDNA C230004F18 gene
GAUGGAGAGACAGAGAGCACGCAACUGGUAAGUAGCCGAGAAAGCUCUCCUAAAAUAGUUGGUCACCAAUUGUUUCAGCAUUGCGUAUUGAAUAAUACAACCUUCUUCCACUGCCGUGAAAUGUCAACAGCUGCUCUCCCACUAGAUAGGGCGUAGCUUUCCACAGACGUGAAAACAUCGCUGUGGUCCAUCUCUAUUUACUGCAAGCAGAAGGGUCAAGACAGAAAACAUAGAGGCUUUUAGUAGGAGAGGGCAGACAUGCUUUAUCAUAUCAUUGAGCUACAAUUCUGGCCUACAGCAGAGAUACAGCCUGGUAUCCAUUAAGAGCAAGGCCUCUGGACCCAGGCUUCCUGGGCUUGCCUCCUGAUCCCAUCUUUUACUAAUUGUAUCGCCACAGAAAGAAAGGCUCCAGAUUUAUGUUUCCUGGUAUUGCUGCUAUUGGUAUUACUGUCCAUUAUUACUAUCAUCAUCAUCAUCACUAUUAUUAUUAUUAUUUUGCAAUUAAACUACAUUGGUGAAUCUUUAAUGUCCAUCUGACCUGAGACUGAAAUAGCUACAGUGCAAGACGGAGAGAGGCCUUCAUGCAUGGUGUGCAUUUGCCACCUAGUGACCACACUGAGGGAGAAGGAACAUGGACCAUCCACCCAGUCUUCCAAACAACAUCCCUCACCCAUAGUUGAAACUUUGGCUUCAGACCCUUCUCUGGCACUUCUGACAAUAAGUUUGGUGACCCAUGCUCUGGAGGAAGAAAGUGAAGAAGAGCAAGACUACUUCUCUGCAGCAAACUCUGAUGUUCUCUGUUCUUUCCUUACCACUGUUGUCAUGAGCAGCAUUUUUUCCCAUAGGUGCAUUGUUAUCCUUGCCAUGAGAGCAGACAAAAAUGAAAAAUAGUUGCCAAGUAACCAGAACUGCUGAUAAGAAACUUUGGGAAAUACCACUGAGAUGUGCUUUGGUAUUUUAUUUCUGGGAACAAACCAAUUGUCUUGGACUUUCACAGUACUCUUUUCUAUGUCUCACCCUUUACCACAAAGGUCCUUAAGUCCUUUGACAUGCAUAGUGUGAGGGAUUCUGGCACACAUUCUAGAACCUCGCAAAGUGGGGGGGGGGGCUGCUAUCUGCUUUAUCAUCUUCAUUCCUGAAGUUUACUUUAAUUCUGAUUAGUUUGGCAUAAGGUCAUUUGUUGUAUGUAGUCAUCUGAGUUAUGUAUUGCCUGAUCCUGAGUAGCAGAGUAUUUAUCAUAAAUUCCUUGAUUUGCAUUGGUACCUAAUCAAGGAGGAGGAUAGUAUAGUUAAUUUCCAUACUUCCCUCUUGUUCUCAUGUUUGCCUCACCCAAGUGUUUCUGAGAUGCUGAACCUCCUCCAGAAAAGGUAAUGCUAAAAUUUCCUGUUCCCAAAAGGUGCUGCAGAACUCACUUCUAGUUGAAGUUUGAGUGUUUAAUUCACUUUUGUAAUCUCAUUAUUUGACUAAAGUAUUGUUAAAGUG